rnacentral:rRNA from 13 species
GGAGAGAGGCUUUCGAUGAAGCCGGGGCGUGAGCCAUCCGGUGGAGAGAUCACUAGUGAGAAUGAUGACAUGAGUAGCGACAAAGAGUGUGAGAGACACUCUCGCCGAAAGUCCAAGGGUUCCUGCUUAAAGCUAAUCUGAGCAGGGUAAGCCGACCCCUAAGGCGAGGCCGAAAGGCGUAGUCGAUGGGAACCAGGUUAAUAUUCCUGGGCCAGGAGGAUGUGACGGAUUGUGGCGGCGUGCGUGCCUUAUCGGAUUGGCGCGUAUCCAAGACAGUCCCUGGAAAUAGCCCUCCAUUAGAUCGUACCCUAAACCGACACAGGUGGACUGGUAGAGAAUACCAAGGCGCUUGAGAGAACGAUGUUGAAGGAACUCGGCAAAAUACCUCCGUAAGUUCGCGAGAAGGAGGCCCGGUUCCUAGGCAACUAGGGGCUGGGGGCACAAACCAGGGGGUGGCGACUGUUUAUUAAAAACACAGGGCUCUGCGAAGUCGCAAGACGACGUAUAGGGUCUGACGCCUGCCCGGUGCCUGAAGGUUAAAAGGAGGGGUGCAAGCUCUGAAUUGAAGCCCAGGUAAACGGCGGCCGUAACUAUAACGGUCCUAAGGUAGCGAAAUUCCUUGUCGGGUAA